UCCCUGUUGGCUCAGUUGGUAGAGCAUCGUGUGUGCAACGCCAGGGUUGUGGGUUCGAUUCCCACGGGGUA
rnacentral:tRNA from 1 species